rnacentral:misc_RNA from 1 species
GAUGAAGAACGCAGCGAAAUGCGAUAAGUAGUGUGAAUUGCAGACUUUAGUGAAUCAUCGAAUCUUUGAACGCACAUUGCGCCCCUUGGUAUUCCAUUGGGCAUGCCUGUUCGAGCGUCAUUUACACCCUCAAGCCUAGCUUGGUGUUGGGCGUUGUCCGCAAGGACUCGCCUCAAAUUCAUUGGCAGCGGCAUCGUCAGCUCCUCGCGCAGCACAUUGCGCUUCAGAAGGCUUCUGGCGGGCUCGCGUCCACUAAGAUACCACCCAGUUUGACCUCGAAUCAGGUAGGGAUACCCGCUGAACUUAAGCAUAUCAAUAAGCGGAGGA